UACCUGCAGCUCUAGUGGUGACCGCUAUUAUUGGGCCUAAAACGUCCGUAGCCGGUUUGAUAAAUGCCUGGGUAAAUCGUGUAGCUUAACUAUACGAAUUCCGGGUAGACUGUUAAACUUGAGACCGGGAGAAGCUAGAGGUACUUCUGGGGUAGAGGUGAAAUUCUGUAAUCCUAGGGGGACCACCAGUGGCGAAAGCGUCUAGCUAGAACGGGUUUGACGGUGAGGGACGAAGCCCUGGGGCGCAAACGGGAUUAGAUACCCCGGUAGUCCAGGGUGUAAACGCUGCUUGCUUGAUGUUGGUUGGGCUCCGAGCCCAAUCAGUGUCGGAGAGAAGUUGUUAAGCAAGCUGCCUGGGAAUUACGGUCGCAAGACUGAAACUUAAAGGAAUUGGCGGGGAGCACCGCAACGGGAGGAGCGUGCGGUUU
rnacentral:rRNA from 1 species